CAAUAUUAUCAAAAAUACUUAUUGUCUCAAGUGAAGUAGAUACCUCCUUAAAAUCAAAGAAGGAUGGUCCUUCAAAACUCUCAAUUUUUUCAAGAGUGAGUGGACACACCAAUAUUUCUAGACAUCUUAUCCCAAGGUUUACUGUGAGCUCAUUUUUUAUUUUUUAACACCUGAUGUUCAAGAUAAACUUGAUUCUAUGAUUGUUAAAGUCAUAGAAAUAUUUGAUGUCUAUGUUCACAAAAUUUCAUAGGCACUUUUUGUGUUAGUUGAUAUUCAUGAUUCUAUGUUUCCUAAAUCGCUUCGUAUUUUUCUUGAAAGUGAUAUCAACGUAGAAGUUGGAGAAAAUUUGGAUGUGAUCAUGUGAAUUGGAUUAGAGAAGUUACAGACUACACAUUCAAGGUAUAUGGUAGAAUGAUAGACAUAAAAUCAACUAUUUAUAUCUAUAAUCUAAGGGCAAAACGGGACCUCCAGAAUUUCAGGUUAUGGUCCUUAUUGGAUCAUGAAGAAGGAAAUUUCAAGCUACUUGAUGUCAACGUGGAAGUUGUAGAAAAAUUGGAUGUGGAUUGGAAUAGAGGAUUAAAGAUGUACUAUGGUAUGGUGAAAGAAAAGCUUAACACCGACUACAUAUUUAUGUAUUCUAAGGACACAAGAGUAUCUCCAAAAAUUCAGGUUAUGGUAUCUACUGAUUUAAUCGUGACGAAGGAAAUUAUUCCAAACAACUUUCUUUCAGGACGUUUUGGAAGGCUAUAUCGAGAGAAAAAAAACCAAGAAGUUAGAUAAUAUUACAGGACACGGAUCGGCCAUUGUGACGAUAAAUUCUUUGGUUUCUAGAAUUGACAGGACUCCCGAAAAACUUCAGACCUUAACCAGACCUAUAGGUACCUUUACCCGAUUCCGUCGGCCUCGAUUGGUCGGUCCAUCACAGGUGUGCACAAAAAAACCACCGGAUAGGAAGGGGAUAGUUUAUAAAAGGUGAAGACAUGCGUGACGGACGCCAAUUGAUCUUGCAGCUCCGCCCUUUGGCACGCCCCAUUGAUCGAGGACGUUU